CGAAGGGCCUGUUGCCACACUGAAGGGAAUCUAAUUUAAUGUAAAUCUCGUCUACACCCUCCCGUUUAAUAAAAUCCUUCCUAUAACAAGGAGACCAGAAUUGUACAUGGUAUGCCCGAAUAUGUCUUGCCAAAGUCUGUACAACCUCAACAUACCAUCCCAACUCCUAUGUUCUGGGCUGUUUGCUGGUCUGCGUUUUGCUUAGUGUCUUCUCUUCCUUCUGCCCUACUCUGAAACGAUGUUGAGAUCUUUUCCCACAGAAUAGGCACUAAAUAAACGCAAGCAGCUAUUGCAGCACGGAAGUCUGUUGUUUCUAAACAAACGUUAGCAACCCAUUGACUGGAUGAGGUGGAAACUGUAAGUCGGAAUUCUGUCAUUGAUUGAGAAAGGAAGACCUAAAUGGGAUCUGGAGUGAAUGCAAAAUAAGACCAAGAGUUUGAUGAGGCUGUGUGAAUACGAGUAUAGGACGGUCUCAAAAUGCGAACGGGCGCAAGUGACUCGGGACGCAACUCAAAGUGCACAAGGGGAAUUCAACAUUGGCGCGAUGUGGACCCGGCAACAGAUUCCUCUUUAAAAAAUAAAUCCGCCGACUCGACGACAAAUGGAACCUUUUUUGAAAAAAGGGAGUUUGAUCGGUAUCGGUUUUUAAAAAGUCCGUUUUGUAGAGACUGAAGGUCCACCAAUAAUGCCAUAUUAAUUGUGGAUUGAAAGAAGGCAAUGGGAGAAAAGACGUUUUGCUCCUUUGGAUUUUCUCAGGAUAUUUGAGGUUGCAAUGUUGUAGAUAGUGUACACGGCUAUCUGUCAUUAUGAAAGUAGACGACAUCACCAGCAUAUGCAGAAAUGAUGGAGAAUGAAAAAGCGUACGGAAAACAUUAUGGAUCUCUUGAAUCAACUACGUGGAAGGCAGAGAAUGUAAAAGAUACAGAUAUUAUAUCAAUGGCUGAUUCGACCAUAACACUGGAUGACAUUGAAGAUGAACUUUUUAAAAUCGAAAGGAUUAGAGAUAUACUGGUCAGACGAGAAUCUGAACUCCGGUACAUGAUGGAUGAUAUACAACUGUGUAAGGAGAUAACACGACUUAAGAAAGAGCUACAGAAACUAGUAUCAAUACCAGAUAAAGACAAAUCAAAUGAAGAUAAACAGAAGGAAGAAGAAUUGUUGCAACAGAUACACAAGCUGGUCGAGACAAGGGAUUUUCUCGUGGAUGAUGUUGAAUUUGAAAGACUGAGGGAAAGAGAGGAAGACAAAGAAAUGGCUGAUUUCCUGCAGGCAAAAUUAUCAAAGGCCAGCUCCAAAAAAACAAAGAAACCAAAAUGCAACACACUCCCAGAACACAGAACAAAAAAAGUUCAUUUACAUUGCCUGAAAGGUUACCUGAUUGGAUGCCAUGCAUAUACUACAUACUACUUAGAAUCCUGUGAAGCCAUUCACACUGCAGAAAUGUGACAAAAUCCGCAGAGACCCUUUCUAAAAGAAACAGUUUGGGUGUUUCUCUAAUCUUUUCAAAUGUAUCAGUAUCCCCAAUGCUUUAACUACAAAAAUUCAAAAUAUGAAACAUCUUCAUAAAAUACUGAAACACACAUUGGCGAAGGUGACGGAAACCACAAGGUGCCAGUAAAGAUGCUAUAAAGGAAAGGAAGAUGACAUCGAGAGCACAGCAGACAUCAGCACCAUUUGUGGCGAAGACUGGGCUGAC